CCUACGGGGGGCAGCAGUGGGGAAUAUUGCACAAUGGGGGAAACCCUGAUGCAGCGACGCCGCGGGAGUGAAGAAGUAAUUCGUGAUGUAAAGCUCUAUCAGCAGGGAAGAAAAUGACGGUACCUGAGUAAGAAGCCCCGGCUAACUACGUGCCAGCAGCCGCGGUAAUACGUAGGGGGCAAGCGUUCUCCGGAUUUACUGGGUGUAAAGGGAGCGUAGACGGCAGUGCAAGUCUGGAGUGAAAGGCGGGGGCUCAACCCCCGGACUGCUCUUGAAACUGUACGGCUGGAGGGCAGGAGAGGUAAGUGGUAUUCCUAGUGUAGCGGUGAUCUGCGUCGAUAUUAGGAGGCACCCCAGUGGCGAAGGCGGCUUACUGGACUGUAACUGACGUUGAGGCUCGAACGCGUGGGGAGCAAACAGGAUUAGAUACCCGGGUAGUC
rnacentral:rRNA from 1 species